GAUGAACGCUGGCGGCGUGCCUAAUACAUGCAAGUCGAACGCUGGAAAUCUAGCUUGCUAGAUUGAAGGAGUGGCGAACGGGUGAGUAAUACAUAAGCAACCUACCCACGAAGACUGGGAUAAUCUCUGGAAACGGGGACUAAUACCGGAUAGGUAAUCGGAAGGCAUCUUCUGAUUAUUAAAGGUUAAAAACACUGGUGGAUGGGCUUAUGGCGCAUUAGUUAGUUGGUGAGGUAACGGCCCACCAAGACGAUGAUGCGUAGCCGGCCUGAGAGGGUGAACGGCCACAUUGGGACUGAGACACGGCCCAGACUCCUACGGGAGGCAGCAGUAGGGAAUUUGCGGCAAUGGGGGAAACCCUGACCGAGCAACGCCGCGUGAGUGAUGACGGCCUUCGGGUUGUAAAGCUCUGUUGUAAGGGAAGAACGGUAGAUAGAGAAUAUCUAAAUGACGGUACCUUACCAGAAAGCCACGGCUAACUACGUG
rnacentral:rRNA from 1 species